rnacentral:lncRNA from 1 species
GGAGAACUGACAGCAUACCCUGAAGAUCAGCAUAUGGUUGUGCAGACAGUACUGACAGUGCUGCCUAAGUCAGGAGCUGUGAUGAUACUUCCAUUAUGCAAACUGGGAGUGUUUCUGAAGUGAGUUGAUUCAGUGAUGAAAAUAAAAUAAACCUUUGGAAUACUAGACGAAGUAGAAUAUAAAAUUACAGCAGUGUACUGUUCUCUUUUUCUGGGUUUCAAUGUGAAGGCCUUGAGCGCUUCUUCUCCCUCCAAGAGGUGUAGCUGCUGGGCCUUGGGGCCAGCUUAGCAGCAGCAUGGCAAUUUCCUGCCCAUGGGGACUGAUUUUGACUGAGGGACACAUGCUUGGCCCCUGCUAGGCCAACAGCCCUUUCAUGAUGCAGCCUGUCCUGUUUUCAGCCACAGCACACCACCUGGGCCCACAGCCCGGCCUAGCCAUCCUGGGGCUGUGUCUGACCCUCAUAUCCCUCACCGGGCGUGAUCCAGGCUCCCACUCAUGGACCAGCAUCCCAGUCCAACUUGGCCCAUCACUGUCCCCAGGGAGGUGCCUAAAGCCUGGACUUGGGAUGGUGCAAUGGGCCCUUGUUGCCAGACCCUGCCCUGCUGCCCUGGGGCAGCCACCACAGCAUCAAGCUCCCAGCCCAAGGGAGACCCCAGACCACAGCAUGUGUGGAGAAGGGUUUAGGGUUUCCUUUCAAAGCAGAAGCUCAGAAGCUGUCAUCCUUUCUUCAGCAGGCCAGUUUACACAAUCAGGAUUUCAACUGAGAGUGCAUGAUAGAACCCUUGGUAAGCGUUUGGAACUUUUUCCAACUCUUUGCUUUUUAGUACUGAGUAUGAGAUGUCCUUACUGCUUUUUGGAAGCCACAUCUGAAAUACUCCAAAGUUUGAGCACAUUGGAUUUUCCUAUCUGUUUCUUUGUCAAACGCUUACACUAUGCCACUGAACCUGAGUAUUACCUUUGACCCUAAUGUAUUAUUAUAGUGCUGUAGUCAACAAAUGGUGAUGUUGUGAAGCCUCAUGCUAGCAGAGAGAGUCACCAGUAGGUUUAAACUCUUUUGAAUACGGAUGUCUUUUCACCAACUAGAGACAUACAAUUGAGACCUUUUUUAAAUAGAAGUUUUCUCAGAGGUCACUGAUAUUUAUAUUUUAAGUGGAAACUCGGAGCAAUAUUAAAGUGUUCAAACUCUCAGAGCUGUAUGAGUGGUUUUAGUGUUCCUGCUGUGCAUGACAAAAAUGCUGACAGGGAACCCUCAGGCCACCUGCUAGGCAUAGUAGCAUUCACUAUGUGCCACAUUAAGGGCUGAAUGGCAAGGUUGACACUGAGUUGCUCAAUAAAAUAGAUCUUUCACAUCCUGCA